AGAAUCAACGCUGGCGGCGUGCCUAACACAUGCAAGUCGAACGAGAAAGUGGAGCAAUCCAUGAGUAAAGUGGCGACCGGGUGAGUAACACGUGACUAACCUACCUUCGAGUGGGGGAUAACAUCGGGAAACCGAUGCUAAUACCGCAUAACAUCGCAAGAUCAAAGCAGUAAUGCGCUUGAAGAGGGGGUCGCGGCUGAUUAGCUAGUUGGCGGGGUAAUGGCCCACAAGACGGUGAUCUGUA
rnacentral:rRNA from 1 species